CCCGCUAGGCCCGCGAAGCCCACGAGCCCGACACGUUAAGCACAGGACCAUGUGGGCUUAGGCCCGUCACGGGCCGGUUCCACCCAUUGAGCCCACGAAGACCGGGACCACCAGGCCCGGGACCGCCAGAGCCCGGGACCACGAAGCCCGGGACCGCGAGGCCCGGCCCGUUAGGCCCACUAAGGCCCGGGCCCGGGACAAAAUACAGCAUUAGAUACAAGCGGAUUGGAUGUGGAAUCGAGAGGUAAAGUGGUAAUUGAGGCUUGAUUUUGUCCGUGGAAUCAAGGUAAGUGUUUGGUCUAACCUUAGCUUGAGGAAAUAUGUGUUGUUGUCUUAUUUGCUACGUUUUAGGGUUGAGUACGACGUAUAGGUAUGGUGACGAGUAUCUAUACGUUGGUGUCGAGCAUGCAAGUGAGUCUUAUAUUGUGACUGUUGUAACUCUUAUUAUGUACUGUUCGUGCUUAAAUUGAUGACUAUCCAUGUUGAAUAAGACUUACGAUAUUUUCUUGGUAAUUGACCAUUGUUCAGUAUUGACUCAAGUUGAGGCUUAUUUUGUGAAGUUAACUGUUGAAACGAGAUUGGUUAUAGUUGAUUCCCUUGCUGGGAUGUUAUUGUUUAUAUUGUUGAUUCCCUUGCCGAGAUGUUAUUGUUUCUAUUGUUUGGGUGAGGAAGAGUGUAAGCACAAAGGGUGAUGUCGUGUACGAUAUUGUGAGAGAGUGUUAAAGCACGGAGGGUGAUGUCAUGCCAUAUUUAGUGAGUGUUAAUGCACGAAGGGUGAUGCCGUGCCUAUUUUUGUGAGUGUUAAUGCACGAAGGGUGAUGCCGUGCCAUGUGUCACACCUCCUUUUUUACCAACCGAGAGGGGGAUAUAAGGGAGUUUUUCCAAUUAAAGUGACAUUAAUCGAAAUGAGAUUAUUUUAUUUAUUUUUAGAGUCGCCAUUUGGAAUAAUUUAUUUGGUGUCCCAAGUCACCGGUUUAUUUUAAAAGCCCAAAUCGAGGAAGUUUUUGACUUUAUUUAAAAGUCUGCGAACCAGAAAUUCUAGAUAAGGAAUUCUGUUAACCCAGAAGAAGAUGUUAGGCAUUCCCGGGUUCCGUGGUUCUAGCACGAUCGCUUAGCAAUUUAUACUUGGCUUAAAUUGUUUAACUACUCAUUUUAGGACCUAUGUUUAUUUUACGUUUUACAGCUAUUAAUCACUUGAUAAUCCGUAUUUAAAGAAUUAACUUAAGAUGAGUUACGUGUACGUAUACUCAUUUCGUUUGGCGCGUCAAAAUCAUAUCAUGUGUACGUGUCGACAAUUAAUCACGCUUUAUUAUUAUCAAGCAAGUUCGGUCGAAGUUGCGCGAAUGCAUACCUCGAUUUUGUUAUUAGGAUCAUAAUCAUGUCACGCUAACGUGUACACAAUCACGAUGAUAGAUUAAGUCGCGCCUAAAACAAACUACGAUAUUUAUAAUCAUUUACCUCACUAAACUUGAGAAUUCUUAGAAAAGUCAUAAACUAUGUUGUUAAAGAUUCUGAUAUGGUAGGUCUAUCUCUAAUCCUAGAGCUACUGCCAAUUUUCUGUAGCUAGCUUGAGUUGGUAUUAGCCAUUUAAACUUUGAAAAUGGCUAUGUGGAUACUUCCUACAUCCUUUUUCAUGAGAUGAUGAAUAGUUAUCACAAGAUAUUUGAGAAAAUUUUUAAGGAGCCAUUCAGUUAUUUAAAAACAAACUGAAGUCAAUCACCAUUAUUACAAAGUUGUAUGAUAUACAUGUAUAAUCCUAGAAACUUAAACGUGUUCAAGAGUGUUGAGUUCUGAGCCAUCAUCAUUUUGAUUUGGUCCUUUCUGCCUCAAAUAUCACAGUUUUUCUUCUGUGGAUAUCACAGAGUAAACAUCACAAUAUAGGCAGAAGCUUGUAUAAUUUCAAUCUAGUAGAGGCCACAAAAUAAAACAUUAUGCUGAUACUGUUGUGAAUUGUAUAAAAAAACAUGGAACUACACCAUUAUUGGAGACCAAAUAAAAAUUCAUAGAUAAUGUCUAGUAAUAUACAACAGCCAGCUUUACAGAGUUAUCAAACAAUCAGAUACCAGAAGAGACUCCUCGUUGAGUCACUAUUAGAGAUUAAAUGAACCAACUUUGAAAAAUAAAGGGGCAAUCUUCACAUGCCAAGUCAUUAGGAAAUUAUUCCAUCCAAGAAUUAACAUACUUUACCAUCACUACUGUUUCAAAGAAUCAAAUGCUAAUAUACUGUAAUGACUCCAUUUCACAAGUGAAUCAAUUCAUCAACCAUGAACAAAUAUUGACAUACACACAAAGCAAAAAGAUUUGUAGUUAAACAUCAGGAUUCUAACAGAUUCGGCAUGUUCAUAGAGUUAGCAACUCAAAUAUUCAUUCAUUUUUUCAAAUAGAAAAUAACAAAAGUAAGCGGACGCACCUAAAGGCAGAAAACAACAAUUAGAGGACCAAAUAAAGGUAUGAACUUCAAAGCUGGAGCUCAGCAGCUCCAAAAACGAGCAACCCCAACAGAUUCGACAACUUCAAUAGCUCAAACCAUUUAGAGAAAUCCCAAAAAAUGUACAACAAUUGAAUGAAAACCCGAAACCAACUUUAAAUCUUCCUUUUCAUCGUUUUUUUCUCUUUUCUUUUUUUUUUUUUGAUUUUUCGGAGUUCUUUUUUUUAGAUCUGAAAUUCGGUACUUUUAAAUCCAGAUGUUUCUGUUUGUGAAAGUGAGAAAGGAAUGAAGAAGGAAAGGGGGAAUAACGCUGUUCUGGGUCUGUGAGAUGAGGAAUGGAGCAGCGUUUGUUUUUGGGUGUUGAAGAAAAUGGGGAAGAAGCCUUUUUCUUCUUUCUAGAUGCGCCGUUUGGUCCUAGGGUCUAAAAGAAUAUGGGAAAAUCUGAUUGUGGUAAUUAGGUCCUAGCUAGGUUAAAUAGAGCUAUGGUUAUUUUAAGGGCAGAGAAUGGGUAUUGGGCUAAAAUAAUUGGGCUGGAAUGUGGGUAAUUGGGUUAUUUGGGAUUUUUGGGCUUCAAAUUAAGCUGGCCCAAACAAAAUUAAAAUGGCAAAUCUACUUCUUCUUUUUUUUCCUUUUUUUUCUUUAAUUAAUUAAAAUCCUAAAUCAAUAUAUUUUGUAGAAACUAAAAUUCUUUAUCUAUUUUUAACAUUAAAACAACUAAUUAACUUAAAACUAAAGAAAAAUGUUAAUUUUAAAGGCUAAAAUCUAAAUAUGUAAAAAUGACCAUUUUUUAUAAUUGUUUGCUUAAUAAAAUUAAUUCCUAUAUGUAAAUUGAACCUAAGAUGGUAUGAAAAUAAAACGUGACAAUUUGUUAUGAUUUUUCUAUGAUUUUAAAAUAUUAAAAAUGCUUGAAAUGCAACUAAAUAAAGAAAAACUCCUAAAAUCAAUUAAAAUUAUUUUUGGCUUAUUUUAGGAGUUAUUUUCAUAUAGGGCAAAAAUUAGGAGCUCACAUCCGCCCCUCUUUGCUCGGAAACAUGAAGAGUUUUUGGGCAAAGAUAAAGUGAGCAAAUACGAGCAAUUUUUGCCCGUUUGAAAUUCCAUGGAAAGCAUUUUUUUUUGAAAAAGUAUGACCGAACCUUGCUUCGGAGGUUGCCUACAUAUCCUUGGCUAUAAAGGAAUGAGGUCAAUAUAGUUUUGGAAGUUUUGGCAGCUGAAACUACCGAAUAACUGUGAUUUCACUGUUGUUGUUGCUGUUUCUGCUUGCUGAGCUCCUUAUUAUACCAAAAUGAAAAAUAAAAAACUAGCUAACUAAGCCUAUCAACUACGAGUUACAAGAUUCUUAUCUAUAAAUCUUCUAAAGCUUGAUCUUGAGUCUUGGUUGGUUUUUCCUACAGACUCUGAUCUGAAUCUUGAUGCCCGUUUGCUGCAACUGCUGGUUCAUUUUUCUUCACCUUUUCAGAUCAAGGCGGGACAUGCAAAGCUUGUGACUUCAAUCAUAUCUUGAGCAGUCCGCAUCUUUUCUCCGCUUCUAUACUUAAAGCUCAUUUCUUUUUCUUGUUUUUCUUUUCUUUUAUUUGAAUCGAGACUUCUUUUCUUGGUCGCCUCGAAACUCAUGCCUCAAGGUAAAAACCUGCUCAGGCACCAAAACAAAUGAACGAAAUUUCCUACCCCAGUUUUCACUAGGAAAUUAUAUGCAAUUAAAUCUUGAAAGAGGCUAAUAUUGCAAUUAUAUGCAAUUUAGCUUUAAAAAUAUUAAAUAAAUUUGUAAAAAUAUAUAAAAAUUAUGCUAGCUAUAUUUUAAUAUAAAUAUGAGAAUCCACUAAAUGAAUCACCAAAAAUGAUAAUUUUGGAGAUAAUUAUUGGUUUUUUUUAUGAAAUAGGGCAAUAAAUUGAUUUAAAAAAUCUUUAAAAAUUAAGAGAACCUUGGGACAUAUUUAUAUGUGCACAUACAUACUAUUUUGAGAGUAUUUUGCAUAUUAAAAAUAUACAGGGAAAAAUUGGGUAUCUACAGGUAGCGAAAAUGAAAGCCUUUGUCAUCCCAACCGGAGAGUAUUAACAAUAUAUGGAGGAUCAAAUAUAGUACUUUUUGGCUGCAUUUGCAUUGACGGUUGUUUUAGGGAUAUUUCCUUCGAUGUGUCCCAGGUGCAACACUCUCUUUGGCAGUACUCUUGUGAGUUACCAUGUAUGAAUCUUUCCAAUCUGGAACCAAUUUUCCUUCAAAUGUUCUGAAUCUUUGUUUUAUUUCCUUAAAAUUUAUCUUCAUUGCAAUCUAAUUCUUGAUUCAUUAUUUUGAGGUCUGCCAGCAUUUCAGGAUCUGGGCAUGAAGUCCGCAAGUAUGUCAUGUUAUUGAAAACUGCAUUUAACAGAACUGAAAAGAAAAAUAAGAAAAGUGACAAGACUAAGAAAAAAGACAUUCCUAGACAAUGAAAUAUUAAUUUCAUUUGAUUUUUGAUUUUUGAUUUUUUUGAUUUUUUGAUUUUUUUUCAAUUUUUGAAGAUAGAAGGGUUUACAUCGGAAAGUAAGACAAUAAAGUAAAAUAUUCGGAUCAUACCCUAAGAUAAUCCGGACGCAGAAAGGAUAGCAAGAUUGGCUACUGAGAUUCUCGUCUGAUAGGGAACUUUCAGGCUUGGCGACCGUUUUUUGGGCUUUUCUUCAGUCUCGGCAAUGGCUGUAAUGGCCUUCAGUGCCAGAUCAAAUUCCUCAUCUUCACAAAUCAUUCCGGCUAUUGGCCUAGUCUUGUGAGCAAGCAACAUAUUGUUCAUCACAUCAGGAGCUUCUUCAUCUCGAAAAAUGAUUCUUUCAACUUCAAUCAAGUCUUCAACUCCCCUUUUAAGGGUUCAUGUGAUGACCCAAAGGGUCAUCACUUGCUUUCAGUUGAUUUAUGUGUCUUUGAGGCCUUGAAAACCUCAUUAGAGUCGCCUCGGUUUGCGUGCGCAGUCUGGCGUGUAGUCGAAAAGCUUAAAUAUGAAACUUUGUGAAAAAUGCUAAGUUUUGAUGUUAAAAUGAAUAAAUUUGACUUCGGUCAACAUUUUAGGUAAACGGACCCGGAUCCGUGAUUCAAUGGUCCAGGAGGGUCCGUAGGAAAAUAUGGGACUUGGGCGUAUGCCCGGAAUCGAAUUCCAAGGUCCCAAGCCCGAGAAAUGAAUUUUUAGUGAAAUUGUUUUCAGAAAUUGUUUAAGGAAAUUUGAAAUGAAAACUGAUUAGAAAGCAAUGGUAUCGGGCCCGUAUUUUGGUUCCGGCGCACGGUGCAGGUCUUAUAUAUGACUUGAGUCAUUCCUGUGAAAUUUGGUUAAAAAACAAACGUCGUUUGACGCGAUCCGGACCUUAAUUGAGAAAUUUGAUGUUUAAAAUAGUUUUGAGAAAUUUCAUUGAUCUCGAGGUUUAAUUCGAUGCUCGUGAUGUUAUUUUGGUAAUUUGAUUACACGAAUAUGUCCGUAGGAUGUUUUUGAGGUUGUGUGUAUACUUGGGUUGGAGUUUCAAGGGCUCGAGUGAGUUUCGAGUAGGCUCCGGGAUGCCUUAGGCUUAGAAAGUCAGAUGUUGCAGGUUCAGGAAGUUGCAGGUCUCUGAACCCUCUAGUGCGGUCCGCGAGAAAUUGCAUGCGACCACGGAGGGGCCAGUGCGGCCGCGGUCGCCUUUGUGUGUAGCGUGGUGGAGGCUGUGCGGACGCAGUCGGCCUUGUGUGGUCCGCACAGGGUGUUGAACUGCAGGUCUUCAGGGAGGCCUGUGAGGCCGCGGUCCAUUUGAUACGGACCGCAUAGGGGGUUUGAGAGGGGUAUAAAUAAACGGGAAUUUCAGUUAUUUUCCACUUUUCAAAACCCCAAAAACAUAAGAGGCGAUUUUUCAAACAACCUUUCUUCUCCAAAAACGUUGGUAAGUGAUUUCUAACUCAUUUUCCUCACUCCUUAACAUCUUUUAACAUGAUUUCAACUUCAAAUCAAAGAUUUUCAUGGGGAAAAUUGGGUGUUUUAGGUAGAACCUAGGUGUUUUCUAAAAUUGGGGAUUUGGACCUCAAUUUGUGGUCCGAUUUCAAAACAAAUUAUAUAUUUGGAUUCGUGAAAGAAUGGGUAACCAGGUUUUGGUCCGAACCUUGGGUUUUGAACACGUGGGUCCGGGGGUGAUUUUUGACUUUUGGGUAAAACUUUGGAAAACUCAUUUUCAUGCAUUGGGGUUGAUUCAUUUAGCACUUAUUGAUGUAAUUAAGUAACUUGUGACUAGAUUCGAGCGGAUUGGUGGUGGAAUCGAGGGGUAAAGCUAUAGUUGAGACUUGAGUGGUGUUCAAGGCAUCGAGGUAAGUGUUUGGUCUAACCCUAGCUUGAUCGAUUAGGAGUUGAGUCAUAUCUGCUACUUGCUACUUUUUGAGUACGACGUAUAGGCAUGGUGACGAGUAUCUAUACGUUGGUGUCAAGCAUGACCGUGAGUCUUAAAUUGAAAGUUGUUGUGUUCUUAAAUGACACUUGGGUGCCUUAUUUUAUGAUCUUCUAUGAUUGAGCAUUUUCAAUAAUUAAACUGAGUACAAGCUAAGUUGAGAUUGGUUAUAGCUGAUUCUCCCUUGCCGGGAUGACUAUUUCAAUAUUGUUGUUCCCUUGUUGGGAAAAUUAUUACAUUGUUGUGUUCCCUUGCCGGGAAGUUAUUAUAUUGAUUAUCUUCCCUUGCCAGGAUUCCUUGAAAUUACAAGAUAUUAUGAAAUGAGAGCGGGUGGUACGCCUACCACAAGAUAUUAUGAAAUAGGAGCGGGUGGUACACCUACCACAAGAUAUUAUGAAAUGGGAGAGAAUGGUAUGCCUACCACAAGAUAUGAGAAAUGGGAACAGGUUGCACGCCUGCAAUAAGAUGGAAACUAAAAGUGAAAGUUGUCUUUACUUUUCUUUAUCUGUGUUAGAAGUUAUAUUGUCAGCUUCCUUAUUUAUUCCUUGCUAUUUUGCUUUAUCAACUAUCCCCGAGGCAUGUUCCCCUUCCCUAGUCUUAAUUGCUUAUUAUCUGUUUACUUUUCCGCCAUAUAUUAUAUAAUUGCACAGGUUUAUCUAGAGUCUGGUCCUAGCCUCGUCACUACUUUGCCGGGGUUAGGCCAGGCACUUACUAGCACAUGGGGUCGGUUAUGCUGAUACUACACUCUGCACUGUGUGCAGAUCCCGGAGUAGCUUUCGGACAGUAGUUGGAGGGCUUCUUUCAGUCCAUCCGGAGACCCAAGGUAGACCUGCAGACGUUUGCGGGCCCUGGCGUCUCCCUCUAUCUCUACUUCUUGUUUCCUUUAUCUCUUGCUCAGGAACAAUACUAUGUAUUUUUUUCAGACUUUGUAUGUAGUGACUCUUAGACAGUCCAUGGUACCAUGACACCAGAUUUUGGGGUAUUGAAGUUUAAAAGUGGUAAUGGACGUAGCUCUAAGCUUUAUAAAUAUUGACUUCCGCCUAUUUCCUAACUUCCGCUUCAUUUAUAUUGUCGCCCUAUGUUUGUUUUAAAAGAAGUAAAAUGAAAAAGGUAGUAGAUAGUUAGGGGUUUGCUUGCCUAGCUCACAUUAGUAGGCACCAUUACGACUCCCGAGGGUGGGAAUUCCGGGUCGUGACAAGUUGGUAUCAGAGCACUAGGUUACAUGGGUCUCACAGUUCACAGACAAACUUAGUAGAGUCUGAUGAAUCGGUACGGAGACCUCUGUAUUUAUCCCCUAGAGGCUACAGAGUUAGGAAAACUUAACAUUUGUUCUUUCUUGUCGUGCGGUUCUGUUUCCCAAUACUGAUUGAAUUUCUACUCCGUUCUCAUCUACCGCUCAGCAGCCCGAGCCCCAGCAUCAGCUUCCACUAGGGGCAGAGGGCGAGGCCAAGGCCGUGAUAGAGGCCGAGGUAGGGGCAGAGUUCAGCCACGAGUGGCAGUACUAGUGGCGGAGCCUCAGGCUGAUUUUGAAGAGGAGGUUCCGACCCCAACAGUUCCGGUGGGCCCAUUUUAGGUCCUAGAGGGGUUUAUUGCUACCCCAGUUCUUCAGAACGCUCUAGUUCGAUUGGUGGGCCUCAUGGAGAGUGUCACCCGAAAAGGUUUGCUUCCUGUAGCACCAACCACUUCUGAGGCUGGAGGAGGGGCUCAGACUCUUACUAAACGCACUCCGGAGCAGGUAGCUCCCCAGAUUCAGACUCCAGCGCAGUUGGAGCAGUUCAGCCGGGAGCCAUAGCUCAGACAGGCGAUGGAGCGACUAUGUCCACCGAUGUUUGUGGAGGUUGGAUAGGUUCACCAAGCUCUUCACUACUACUUUCAGCAGUACUUCUUUUGAGGAUCCCAGGAUUUCCUAUAUAACUGUCACGAGGUUCUCAGGAACAUGGGCAUUGUUGAGACCAAUGAGGUCGAUUUUGCUACAUUCCGCUUGUCUGGAUCCGCCAAGACUUGGUGGAGGGAUUAUUGCUUAGCUAGGCCAGCCGAAUCGCCAUCUUUGACUUGGGAACAGUUUACAGUGUUGUUUCUGGAGAAGUUUCUCCCCGUGACUCAGAGAGAGGCCUAUCAGAGGCAGUUUGAGUGCCUCCAGCAAGGUUCCAUAAUGGUCACCCAGUAUGAGACCAGGUUCAUCGACUUAGCUCGCCAUGCCCUCGUCAUACUUCCUACCGAGAGAGAGAGGGUGAGGAGGUUUAUUCGAUGGUCUUAUUCAGCCGAUUCGUCUUCAGAUGGCCAAGGAGGCCGAGAGUGAGAUCGCUUUUGGGGAGGCGGCCAAUGUGGCUCGCAAAGUUGAGAUGGUUUUGUCAUAUAGAGGUGGUCAUGGGUCGGAUAAGAGGCCCCGUCAUUCAGGCAGAUUCAGUGGUACCUCGUCUGGAGGUAGAGAUUCAUAUGGUAGAGGCCAUCCUCCUAGGCCCUUUCAGUCAACUCUUCAAGUUUCUCACGAUGCUUUCGGUAGCCGUGGUCCUCCGAUGCAGUAUUCUGACCAGCAGUUCUUCAGUGCACCACCAACACCUAUCAGUGCACUACCGCUUUAGAGUUUCUAGGGUCGUCAGCCCCAGCAGCCGAGAGCUUGUUUUACUUGUGGCGACCCAAGGCAUAUUACUAGGUAUUGCCCUCGAGCUUCGAGCAGUUCUCCGUAUCAGGGUUCUCGUGCUAUGGUUCAGGCACCAGAUGUUCCACAGACCGCCCAGCCAGCUAGAGGUGGGGGUAGAGGUGCUGGAGGUGGAGGUAGGGGUCCUAGAGGUGGAGAUCAGGCCGCUAGAGGUGGAGGCCAGCCAGCAGCAGGCCGUCCCAGAGAGGUAGUUCAGGGUGGUGGGGCCUAGCCCUGAUGUUAUGCCCUUCCAGUCAGGCCCGAGGCUGAGUCUUCAGAUAUAGUGAUCACAGGUAUAGUUCUAGUUUGUGAUAGAGAUGCUUCAGUGUUAUUUGAUCUAGGGUCUACAUACUCGUAUGUGUCAUCUUAUUUUGCACCGUAUCUGGUCAUGCCUAGUGAUUCGUUGAGUAUUCCUGUUUAUGUAUCUACACCGGUGGGUGAUUCUAUUGUGGUAGAUCGAGUCCAUCGCUCUUGUGUAAUUGUGAUUGAGGGUCUUGAGACUCGUGUGGAUUUGUUGCUUCUAGACAUGGUCGACUUCAAUAUUAUAUUGGGGAUGGACUGGUUAUCACCUUACCAUGCUAUCUUGGACUGUCAUGCCAAGAUUGUGACCUUAGUUUUGCCGGGUAUGCCUCAUUUAUAGUGGAGAGGAACUCCUGGUCAUUCUACCCGUAGCGUUAUCUCUUAUGUGAAGGCUCGGUGUAUGGUUGAGAAGGGGUAUUUGGCCUAUUUGGCUUACGUUCGUGAUUCCAGUGCUGAGGUUCCUUCUAUUGAUUCUGUUCCUGUGGUUCGUGAGUUUCCUGAGGUAUUCCCUUCAGAUCUGCUGGGUAUGCCGCCCGACAGGGAUAUUGACUUUUGCAUUGAUUUGGCUCUGGGCACUCAGCCCAUUUCUAUUCUGCCAUAUCGCAUGGCCCCGCUAGAGUUGAAAGAGUUGAAGGAGUAGUUGCUGGACUUGCUUGAGAAGGGUUUCAUUAGACCCAGCAUUUUGCCUUAGGGUGCGCCGAUUUUGUUUGUUAAGAAAAAGGAUGGUUCGAUGAGAAUGUGCAUUGAUUACCGACAGUUGAACAAGGUCACCAUCAAGAAUAAGUAUCCAUUGCCGAGGAUUAAUGAUUUGUUCGAUCAGCUUCAGAGUGCUAAGGUAUUUUCAAAGAUCGACUUGAGAUCUGGCUACCAUCAGUUGAGUAUUAGGGCAUCCGAUGUCCCUAAGAUAACUUUUUGCACUCGGUACGGGCAUUAUGAGUUCUUGGUCAUGUCAUUUGGAUUGACAAAUGCCCCAGCAACUUUUAUGGAUUUGAUGAACCGAGUAUUCAGGUCUUAUUUGGACUCGUUCAUGAUUGUCUUCAUUGAUGAUAUUUUGAUAUAUUCCCACAGCCAGGAGGAGAACGAGCAACAUCUCAUAGUGGUUCUUCAGACUCUGAAGGAUAGUCAGUUAUAUGCUAAGUUCUUGAAGUGUGAGUUCUGUUUGAGUUCAGUUGCAUUUCUAGGUCAUGUUGUAUUAGCAAAGGGUAUUCAGGUUGAUCUGAAGAAGAUUGAGGCAGUCAAGAACUAGCCUAGACCAGCAUCAGCUACAGAGAUUUGGAGAUUCUUGGGAUUGACAGGCUACUAUCGUCGGUUUGUGGAGGGGUUCUCAUCUAUUGUAGCCUCGAUGACCAGGUUGACCCAAAAGGGUGCCCAGUUUAGAUGGUUGGACGAGUGUGAGGCGAGCUUUCAGAAGCUCAAGACAACUCUGACUAUCACACCGGUGUUGGUUUUGCCCACAGGUUCAGGGCCUUACACAGUUUAUUGCGAUGCUUCCCGUAUUGGGCUUGGUGCAGUGUUGAUGCAGGAUGGCAAGGUCAUUGCCUAUGCUUCGAGGCAGUUGAAGAUUCAUGAGAAGAACUAUCCGGUCUAUGAUUUAGAGUUGGCAGCCAUUGUUCACUCAUUGAAGAUUUGGAGGCAUUAUCUAUAUGGCGUGGCAUGUGAGGUGUUCACUGAUCUCAAGAGUCUUCAGUAUUUGUUCAAGCAAAAGGAGUUGAAUUUGAGGAAGAGGAGAUGGUUGGAGUUGUUGAAGGAUUAUGAUAUCACUAUCUUAUAUCACCCAAGAAAGGCCAAUGUGGUGGCCGAUGCUCUAAGUAGAAAGUCAGCCAGCAUGGGCAGUCUUGCUUAUAUUUCGGUCGGUGAGAGGCCGCUUGCGUUGGAUGUUUAGGCUUUGGCCAAUCGAUUUGUGAGAUUGGAUAUCUCUGAGCCUAGCUGAGUAUUAGCUUGCACGGUCGCUCGUUCUUCAUUAUUGGAGCGUAUCCGUGAUCGCCAGUUUGAUGAUCCCCAUUUGUGUGUCCUUAGAGACACGGUGCAACGUGGAGGUGCUAAACAAGUUACCUUAGGUGAUGAUGGAGUUUUGAGAUUGCAGGGUCGAGUUUGUAUGCCUAAUGUAGAUGGGCUUCGAGAGUUGAUUUUAGAGGAGGCCCAUAGUUCCCGGUACUCUAUUCAUUCAGGCAUCGCGAAGAUGUAUCAGGAUUUGCGGCAGCAUUAUUGGUGGCGGAGAAUGAAGAAGGAUAUCGUUGCAUAUGUAGCUCGGUGUUUGAAUUGUCAGCAGGUUAAGUANNNNNNNNNNNNNNNNNNNNNNNNNNNNNNNNNNNNNNNNNNNNNNNNNNNNNNNNNNNNNNNNNNNNNNNNNNNNNNNNNNNNNNNNNNNNNNNNNNNNNNNNNNNNNNNNNNNNNNNNNNNNNNNNNNNNNNNNNNNNNNNNNNNNNNNNNNNNNNNNNNNNNNNNNNNNNNNNNNNNNNNNNNNNNNNNNNNNNNNNNNNNNNNNNNNNNNNNNNNNNNNNNNNNNNNNNNNNNNNNNNNNNNNNNNNNNNNNNNNNNNNNNNNNNNNNNNNNNNNNNNNNNNNNNNUUGCUGACUCGGAAGAAGUUCGACGCAGUUUGGGUCAUUGUUGAUAGGCUGACCAAGUCAGCGCAUUUCAUUCCUGUGGCAGUCUCCUAUUCAUCCGAGAGGUUAGCUAAGAUCUAUAUCCGAGGGAUUAUUUGUCUUCAUGGCGUGCCUGUAUCUAUCAUUUCGGACCGAGGUAUGCGGUUUACCUCACAUUUCUGGAGAGCAGUUCAGCGAGAGUUGGGCACUCAGAUUGAGUUGAGUACAACAUUUCAUCCUCAGACGGACGGGCAGUCCGAGCGGACUAUUCAGAAUUUGGAAAAUAUGCUUCGAGCCUGUGUCAUUGACUUUGAUGGUUCGUGGGAUCAGUUUUUGCCUUUCGCAGAGUUUGCCUAUAACAACAACUACCAAUCGAGUAUCUAGAUGGCUCAUUCUGAGGCUUUAUAUGGUAGGCGGUGUCGAUCUUUGGUUGGAUGGUUUGAGCCGGGAGAGGCUCAGUUGUUGGGUACGGAUCUGGUUCAGGAGGUCUUGGACAAGGUCAGGAUCAUUCAGGAUAGGUUUUGUACAGCUCAAUCUAGGUAGAAGAGUUAUGCAGACCGCAAAGUUUGAGAUGUGACUUUUAUGGUUGGUGAGCGGGUAUUGCUCCGUGUGUCGCCUAUGAAGGGUGUGAUGAGAUUCGAGAAGAAGGGCAAGGCUAGACCUAGGUUCAUUGGUCCAUUUGAGAUUCUUGAUCGAGUGGGAGAGAUGGCUUAUAGACUUGCGUUGCCGACGAGCUUAUCAACCGUGCAUCCGGUGUUUCAUGUGUCCAUGCUUCAGAAAUAUCACGGCGAUCCAUCCUAUGUGUUAGAUUUCAGCACUGUCUAGUUGGACAAGGACUUGUCUUAUGAGGAGGAGCCGGAAGCUAUUCUAGACCGGCAAGUUUGACAGUUGAGGUCGAAGAGUUUUCCUUCGGUCCGUGUUUAGUGGAGAGGUCAUCCUCCUAAGGCGUCGACCUGGGAGUUCGAGUCCGAUAUGCGUAGCCGUUAUCCUCAUCUUUUCCCCGACUCAGGGACUUCCUUCUUCUGUCCUUUCAAGGACGAACGGUUGUUUUAGAGGUGGAUAAUGUGACGACCCAAAGGGCCAUCACUUGCCUUCAGUUGAUUUCUAUGUCUCCAAGGCCUUGAAAAUCUCAUUAGAAUCACCUCGAUUUGCGUGUGCAGUUCGGGCACGUAGCCGGAAAGCUUAAAUAUGAAACAUUGUAAAAAAUGCUAAGUUUUGAUGUUAAAAUGAAUAAAUUUGACUUUGGUCAACAUUUUGUGUAAAUGAACCCGGAUCCGUGAUUCGACGGUCCUGGAGGGUCCGUAUGAAAAUAUAGGACUUGGGCGUAUGCCCGGAAUCGAAUUCCGAGGUCCCAAGCCCGAGUUAUGAAUUUUUUGUGAAAUUGUUUUCAGAAAUUAUUUAAGGAAAUUUGAAAUGAAAACUGAUUAGAAAGCAAUGGUAUCGGGCCCGUAUUUUGGUUCCGGCACCCAGUACAUGUCUUAUAUAUGACUUGAGUCAUUCAUGUGAAAUUUGGUUAAAAACGGACGUCGUUUGACGCGAUCCGGACCUUAAUUGAGAAAUUUGAUGUUUAAAAGAGUUUUGAGAAAUUUCAUUGAUCUCGAGGUUUAAUUCGAUGCUCGUGAUGUUAUUUUGGUAAUUUGAUUACACGAAUAUGUCCGUAGGAUGUUUUUGAGGUUGUGUGUAUACUUGGAUUGGAGUUUCGAGGGCUCAGGUGAGUUUCGAGUAGGUUCCGGGGUGCCUUAGGCUUAGAAAGUCAGAUGUUGCAGGUUCAGGAAGUUGCAUGUCUCUGAACACUCUAGUGCAGUCCGCGAGAAAUCGCAUGCGACCGCGGAGGGUCCAGCGCGGCCGCGGUUGCCUUUGUGCGGAGCGCGGUGGAGGCUGUGCGGCCGCAGUCGGCCUUGUGCGGUCCGCAUAGGGUGCUGAACUGCAGGUCUUCAGGGAGGCCUGUGCGGUCGCGGUCCAUUUGAUGCAGACCACACAGGGGGUCUUAGAGGGGUAUAAAUAAACAGGAAUUUCAGUUAUUUUCCACUUUGCAAAACCCCNNNNNNNNNNNNNNNNNNNNNNNNNNNNNNNNNNNNNNNNNNNNNNNNNNNNNNNNNNNNNNNNNNNNNNNNNNNNNNNNNNNNNNNNNNNNNNNNNNNNNNNNNNNNNNNNNNNNNNNNNNNNNNNNNNNNNNNNNNNNNNNNNNNNNNNNNNNNNNNNNNNNNNNNNNNNNNNNNNNNNNNNNNNNNNNNNNNNNNNNNNNNNNNNNNNNNNNNNNNNNNNNNNNNNNNNNNNNNNNNNNNNNNNNNNNNNNNNNNNNNNNNNNNNNNNNNNNNNNNNNNNNNNNNNNNNNNNNNNNNNNNNNNNNNNNNNNNNNNNNNNNNNNNNNNNNNNNNNNNNNNNNNNNNNNNNNNNNNNNNNNNNNNNNNNNNNNNNNNNNNNNNNNNNNNNNNNNNNNNNNNNNNNNNNNNNNNNNNNNNNNNNNNNNNNNNNNNNNNNNNNNNNNNNNNNNNNNNNNNNNNNNNNNNNNNNNNNNNNNNNNNNNNNNNNNNNGAUUUCAACUUCAAAUCAAAGAUUUUCAUGGGGAAAGUUGGGUGUUUGGGGUAGAACCUAGGUUUUUUCUAAAAUUGGUGAUUUGGACCUCAAUUUGAGGUUCGAUUUCAAAACAAAUUAUAUAUUUGGAUUUGUGGGGGAAUGGGUAACCAGGUUUUGGUCCGAACCUCGGGUUUCGACCACGUGGGCUUGGGGGUGAUUUUUGACUUUUGGGUAAAACUUUGGAAAACUCAUUUUCAUGUAUUGGGGUUGAUUCAUUUAGCACUUAUUGAUGUAAUUAAGUAACUUGUGACUAGAUUCGAGCGGAUUGGUGGCAGAAUCGAGGGGUAAAGCUAUAGUUGAGACUUGAGUGGUGUUCAAGGCAUCGAGGUAAGUGUUUGGUCUAACCCUAGCUUAAGGGAUUAGGAGUUGAGUCAUAUCUGCUACUUGCUACUUGUUGAGUACGACGUAUAGGCAUGGUGACAAGUAUCUAUACGUUGGUGUCAAGCAUGACCGUGAGUCUUAAAUUGAAAUUUGUUGUGUUCUUAAAUGACACUUGGGUGCCUUAUUCUAUGAUCUUCUAUGAUUGAGCAUUUUCAAUAAUUGAACUGAGUACAAGCUAAGUUGAGAUUGGUUAUAGCUUAUUCUCCCUUGCCGGGAUAACUAUUUCAAUAUUGUUGUUCCCUUGCCGGGAAAAUUAUUACAUUGUUGUGUUCCCUUGCCGGGAAGUUAUUAUAUUGAUUAUCUUCCCUUGCCGGGAUUCCUUGAAAUUACAAGAUAUUAUGAAAUGAGAGCGGGUGGUAGCCUACCAUAAGAAAUUAUGAAAUGGGAGCGGGUGGUACGCCUACCACAAGAUAUUAUGAAAUGGGAGCGGGUGGUAUGCCUACCACAAGAUAUUAUGAAAUGGGAGCGGGUGGUAUACCUACCACAAUAGAUGAGAAAUGGGAACGGGUUGCACGCCUGCAACAAGAUGGAAACUGAAAGUGAGAGUUGUCUUUACUUUUCUUUAUCUGUGUUAGAAGUUAUAUUGUCAGCUUCUUUAUUUAUUCCUUGCUAUUUUGCUUUAUCAGCUAUCCCCGAGGCAUGUUCCCCUUCCUCAGUCUUAAUUGCUUAUUAUCUGUUUACUUUUCCGCCAUAUAUUAUAUAAUUGCACAGGUUUAUCUGGAGUCUGGUCCUAGCCUCGUCACUACUUCGCUGGGGUUAGGCCAGGCACUUACCAGCACAUGGGGUCAGUUGUGCUGAUACUACACUCUACACUGUGUGCAUAUCCCGGAGCAGCUUUCAGACAGUAGUUGGAGGGCUUCCUUCAGUCCAUCCGGAGACCCAAGGUAGACCUGCAGACGUUCGCGGGCCCUAGCGUCUCCCUCUAUCUCUACUUCCUGUUUCCUUUAUCUCUUGCUCAAGAACAAUACUAUGUAUUUUUUUUCAGACUUUGUAUGUAGUGACUCUUAGACAGUCUGAGGUACUGUGACACCAGAUUUUGGGGUAUUGAAGUUUAAAAGUGGUAAUAGACGUAGCUCUAAGCUUUAUAAAUGUUGACUUCCGCCUAUUUCCUAACUUCCGCUUCAUUUAUAUUGUCGCCCUAUAUUUGUUUUAAAAGAAGUAAAAUGAAAAAGGUAGUAGAUAGUUAGGGGUUGGCUUGCCUAGCUCACAUUAGUAGGCGCCAUCACGACUCCCGAGGGUGGGAAUUUUAGGUUGUGACAGUUCAACAGUCCUUCGUACUGUGUCCUACUGCUCCAGAGUGGUAUUCACAUCUAGCAUCAGCUCGGUGCGAGGGGAACUCGGGGUUCGGCCAGUUCGGGGCCACUGGCUGCAAUAGAUCUAGUCUGAUCAGCUUUUGGAACAAACUUGAAUACGAUUCACCAAUAAAGGUGAACUGAUUCUUUCUGAAAGGCUCUCUUGGGAGAGGAUUGUACUGGGGAACAUUUGAUUGGGGAUUAUAUGGAGCUUGGAAAGGAUGGACAUUUAUAGGAGGUGGAGCUCGGUUUUGUGUAUAAUGUUGUGGCUGCGUGUAAGGUUGCGCGUUCAUCACCGCAUAGGGAGGUGGUGCCAUGGCAUAAGCAUAAUCUUGAAGUGGAUAAUAAUGUUGAGGGACCUCAGGAAGCAUAUAUGAUUGGCUGAAUGACAUGCGGGCCCCCCUCGAGCUGGAAGCCAUCAUGACUCCUUUUUCUCUCUCGUUUCCAUUUAUCAAAUCCUUUGAACCAUUUUGAACAUUUGAUGAUGUGCCUUUAAAAGCAACAUGACUCAAGAUUCGACCCGUUUUUAGCCCACUUUCUAUCAUCUCCCCAAUUUUGAUAGCCUCAACAAACGGCUUUCCCAUAGCUGACAUCAUGUUCUGGAAGUAGUCCGCCUCUUGGGCCUGUAGAAAGACCGUGACCAUUUCAAUUUCGUCCAUUAGAGGCUUUACCCUGGCAGCUUGCUUACGCCAUUUGACAGCAUAUUCACGAAAGCUUUACGUGGUUUUCUUUUUCAAAUUGGACAAAGAGUUUCUGUCGGGAGCGAUGUCCACAUUAUAUUAGAACUGGCGGACAAAAUCUCGAGCCAUAUCGUCCCACACAUGCCAAUGGGUAAUUUCUUGAUCCGCAUACCACUCAGAAGCAAUUCCGGAGAGGUUUUCCCCAAAAUAGGCCAUUAGCAGCUCCUCUUUUCCACUAGUAUCCCUCAUCUGGUUACAAUGUCGUUUUAGGUGAGCGACCGGGUCUCCGUGCCCGUCGUACUUUUUAACUUUUGGCAUCUUGAAGCUAGCUGGCAAGUGGACAUGGGGAAACAUACAGAGUUUAGAGUAUGAGACACUUUUUGGCCACUCAGACCUUGCAUGUUUUUCAGGCUUUGUUCCAGGCUCUUCAUCUUCCGAGCCAUUUCCUCUUGCUCAGGAUUUUUAACAACCGUUUUUUGCUCCACCAAGAGAUCAUAUUGUGGAGGUUGAGUGAAAGAGUAUGGGGUCACAUAUGCUAUUUCUGAUUGAAGCUGUGGACCCUGAAAGGUGAACAUUGGAGGAUCAACAUACGGCCAUGGUAAAGUUGGUUAUAUUAUAGUGCAGACUGGUGCUGUAGAGAACAAUAUUGGAGGUGCCCAGGAAACUGGAGCCUGGGGGCGAACCACAGAAUGCAUGCCAGGAUCAUUGAACGACAUUGGAGGGUGCCCGCAUGGGAUGAGCGAGUUGGGCACAUGGGCAUUGGUAACCUCACCUGACCUGGGGAUCAACUCAGGGAACCCAGGGAUUGCACUUGGCGGUUACCUACCAUUAGACCAGGCGUCUCACAUUUCCAAUAUGCGGAGACGCAACAUCUUAUUCUCUUCAGCAGGUGCUGAUUCUAGCUGCAGAAUAGCCGAUGCCGGGCCAUCCUCAAAAUCGAUGAUUGGUAGAUUGCUUGCGGAGGCCAUCUAUGCCUUUGGAUCUUGUGAAGGAAGGGAGGCUAGACUACCAACAAAACCAAUCACCAAAAUCUGGCUAGUUUGCACACCCAACAACCUUGUUAGUUUUGAGACGCUUAAUAGAUAGGAAAUUGCACCUUUGGAUGCAAUGCACCUAAAGAGUUAAACGUUUCUACCAUGUGUUUGAACGGUUGCAUGUUCAUCCCAGCCUUAACUAACCCCUUUCACUCUGUACCUCUUUUCUUCAUUUCUGCCUCUCUUUAAUCACUCUUGAGUUUUUUCAUCUCGUUGCUGCCGCUCUUUUAUUUUUGGCAUUGUCUUUUUCUCUUUUUGUUUGUCACUUUUUAUUUCUCGUCGCUCCUUUUUUUUCGCUCUUUUCUUUAUUUUUCACUCAAUAAUUUUUUUUUCUUUCUCUUUUUUUUUCAAAUUAUUUUUCACUUAGUUUUAUUUUAUAGCUAUGAUCGAAUCCGAUGGGGAUUGCCUACGUAUAAUGACGCGACAUGAAUCGGAUCUUGCAAGUUCGGGAAGAUCAAGAAUGAAGUUUAUAAACUAACUCUUUUUUUUGGUUUUUAUAAAACUCAGACCGUGAAAGCUUUAAGGCAAAAGGAAAAUAUUUUUUAGUUUUUGACUUUUUUUUUGUAUUUUUUUGGAAUUUUCGAAAACAAAAUUGCUUUAAAAGAAGAAAGGAAAUAUGUUUUUGAUUUUUGAUUUUGAUUUUGAUUUUAUUUUUGAAAGAAAGACUUCUAAAAAUUCCUUUUCUUUUGAACUGAACUUUGGGAAUUUCAAAAGUAAAAGGAAUUGUUUUUUUGAAUUUCUAUUUGUUUUCUCUUAUUCUAAAGAAGAAAUAUAUAUAUAUAUAUAUAUAUAUAUUGGUAUUUGGUAUGUUGCCUCUUAUUUUUAGAAAGAGGGACNNNNNNNNNNNNNNNNNNNNNNNNNNNNNNNNNNNNNNNNNNNNNNNNNNNNNNNNNNNNNNNNNNNNNNNNNNNNNNNNNNNNNNNNNNNNNNNNNNNNNNNNNNNNNNNNNNNNNNNNNNNNNNNNNNNNNNNNNNNNNNNNNNNNNNNNNNNNNNNNNNNNNNNNNNNNNNNNNNNNNNNNNNNNNNNNNNNNNNNNNNNNNNNNNNNNNNNNNNNNNNNNNNNNNNNNNNNNNNNNNNNNNNNNNNNNNNNNNNNNNNNNNNNNNNNNNNNNNNNNNNNNNNNNNNNNNNNNNNNNNNNNNNNNNNNNNNNNNNNNNNNNNNNNNNNNNNGUUUUUUUGUUUUUAAUUUACAAAGUACUUCUAAAGAAAAUAAAAAUAUUUUUGGACUUCAAUUUUUUUUAAAAAAAAAUUUAAUUUUUUAAAGAAAGACUUUUAUACAAGGAAAAGAAUUUUUAUUUUUUUUAUUCUUUUUUGUCUGAUGUUUUUUGAAUUUUUGGGAAAAGACUUCUUAAAAAGGUAGAUUUUUUUUUUGAAUUUUAAUUUGACUUGUGGAUUUUCGAAAGAAGAACUUUUAAGAAAACAUUUCGGAUUUCUGAGUUUCUCUUCUUUCUUUUUUUUCAUCUUUUUUAAUUUACGAAAGUACUUUUAAAGAAAAGCAAAAAUAUUUUUGGACUUUUGUUUCUCAAUAUUUUAUGGACAUUUACAAAAGAAAGACUUCUAAAAAGAAAAGAGUAUUUUUGGAUUUUUGUUGCUGAUUUUUUUUGGAUUUCUUUUGAAAAUGAAGGAAACCCGUAUGGAUUUUGAUUUUUAUUGAUUUUUUUUAUUUUAUUUCUUUUUCCGUAUGAAAGACUUCAGAAAGAAGGAAACUUUUUUUUGAGUUUAAAAAUCCUUUUUUUUGACAUUUCUACGGAAAUGCUUCUAAAGGAGGAAUUACAGGAAAAUAUUUUUGGAUUUUGUUUAGAAAUUGGGGCCGGAACCGAUGAGGUUUGCCUACGUAUCUCACACCCGGCGAGAAUCAGACCCGCAUAGUUCAGUCAGUUUUGACAUAAUUGGAAAAACAUGAUAUUAACUCACUCUUUUUUUUAAAUGCAUUUUCCUUUUUUCUCUUUUUUUUUUCAAAAGAUUUUGGCAGAGUUUCGAGGCAUUUUCAAAUACCGAGGUUUUCAGAACCGGGUGAAUUCUCUAUCGUACCUCACUCUUGGUUUUUCUCUUGAUUUGUUUCCUAGCCGGUCAACAUGCAAGCCGAAAUAAAUAAAUAUUCACAUAGCACGUAGGAUGCAUUAGGAUGGUCGGUUGUUUUGGGUCCACCUGUCCUAGACGGACCCAACCCAUGUGUUGAGUCCCCAAGGUCAAACACACGUGAUCCAAAUAAAUGUUCCUACUAAGGAUCCGACAUGAGGUUACGUUAUUCUAAGCUUAAACCUGGGGUUGUGUUCUAGACCUGGCUUACCCGAGUGAACAGACUCGAGCCGAAGAGGGGGCAAUGUACCGGGAGUACGAAAGUCUGUCCGGCCUUGUUGCUUGCCCAACCUCGUUCUAUUUAGUAUAACUUCUAAUAGAAAAAGUGGGCCACGCGAAUGUGUGCAUAGUUUUUUUAGAAGACUUAGAAGGGAGGCGUAAGAAGAUAUUUAAAUAUAGUUCAAGUAAUAUCAAAACGGUAAAUAAAUAGUAAUUAGCACAUUAGGUACACAAAAUACAAUAAUAUCAACAAUAAAUAAAGCUAAAUAAAAAUCACAUUAACAAGCUCGAAUUCUUGAACACUGAACCAGAAGUUCUAGGUUCUUAGUCCCCAGCGGAGUCGCCAGAGCUGUCACACCUCCUUUUUUACCACCCGAAAUGGGGAUAUAAGGGAGUUUUUCCAAUUAAAGUGUCACUAAUUGAAAUGAGAUUAUUUUAUUUAUUUUUAGAGUUGCCAUUUGGAAUAAUUUCUUUUGUGUCCCAAGUCACCGGUUUAUUUUAAAAUUCCAAAUCGAGGAAGUUUUCGACUUUAUUUAAAAGUCUGUGAACCAAAAAUUCUGGAUAAGGAAUUCUGUUAACCCGGGAGAAGGUGUUAGGCAUUAUCGGGUUCCGUGGUUCUAGCACAGUCGCUUAGCAAUUUAUACUUGGCUUAAAUUGUUUAACUACUCAUUUUAGGACCUAUGUUUAUUUUACCUUUUACUGAUAUUAAUCACUUGAUAAUCCGUAUUUAAAGAAUUAACUUAAGAUGAGUUAUGCGUACGUAUACUUAUUUCGUUUGGUGCGUCAAAAAUCAUGUCACGUGUACGUUUCCACAAUUAAAUACGCUUUAUUAUUAUCAAGCAAGUGCGGUUGAAGUUGCGCGAACGCGUACCUCGAUUUUGUUAUUAGGAUCAUAAUCAUGUCAGGAUCAUAAUCAUGUCACGUGAACGUGUACACAAUCACGAUGAUAGAUUAAGUCGCGCCUAAAGGAAACUACGAUAUUUAGAAUCAUUUACCUCACUAAACUUGAGAAUUCUUCAAAAAGUCAUAAAACUAUGUUGUUAAAGAUUCUCAUAUGGUAGGUCUAUCUCUAAUCCCAGAGCUACUGCCAAUUUUCUGUAGCGAACUUGAGUUGGUAUUUGCCAUUUAAACUUUGAAAAUGGCUAUGUGGAUACUUCCUACAUCCUUUGCCAUGGGAUGAUGAAUAGUUAUCACAAGAUAUUUGACAAUUUUUUUAAAGAGCCAUUCAGUUAUUUAAAAACAAACUGAAGUCAAUCACCAUUAUUACAAAGUUGUUUGAAACUACAUGUGUAAUCCUAAAAACUUAAACGUGUUCAAGAGUGUUGAGGUCUGAGCCAUCAGCAUUUCGAUUUGGUCCUUUCUGCCUUAGAUAUCACAGUUUUUCUUUUGUGGAUAUCACAGAGUAAACAUCACAAUAUAGGCAGAAGCUUGUAUAAUUUCAAUCUAGUAUAGGCCACAAAAUAAAACAUUAUGCUGAUGCUGUUGUGAAUUGUAGAUUAAAAAAAACAUGGAACUACACCAUUAUUGGAGACCAAAUAAAAAUUCAUAGAUAAUCUCCAGUAUAUACAAUAGCUAGCUUUACAGGGUUAUCAAACAAUCAGAUACUAGAAGAGACUCCUCAUUGAGUCAUUAUUGGAGAUUAAAAUGAACCAACUUUGAAAAAUAAAAGGGGCGAUCUUCACAUGUCAAUCCACUAGGAAAUUAUUCCAUCCAAGAAUUAACAUACUUCACCAUCACUACUGUUUCAAAGAAUCAAAUGCUAAUAUACUGUAAUGACUUCAUUUCACAAGUGAAUCAAUUCAUCAACCAUGAACAAAUAUUGACAUGCACACAAAGCAAAAUGAUUUGUAGUUAAACAUCAGGAUUCCAACAGAUUCGUCAUGUUCAUAGAGUUAACAACUCAAAUAUUCAUUCAUUUUUUCAAAUAGAAAAUAACAGAAGUAAGCGGACGCACCUAAAGGCAGAAAACAUCAAUUAGAGGACCAAAUAGAGGUAUGAACUUUAAAGCUGGAGCGCAGCAGCUCCAAAAACAAACAGCCCCAGCAGAUUCAACAACUUCAAUCGCUCAAACCAUUGAGAGAAAUCCCAGAAAAUGUGCAUUUAUUGAAUGAAAACCCGAAACCAGGUUUAAAUCUUCCUUUUCAUCAUUUUUUUUCUUUCUUUUUUUGAUUUUUCGGAGUUCUUUUUUUUAGAUAUGAAAUUCGGUACUUUUAAAUCCAGAUGUUUCUAUUUGUGAAAGUGAGAAAGGAAUGAAGAAGGAGAGGGGGAAUAGCGUUGUUCUGGGUCUGUGAGAUGAGGAAUGGAGCAGCGUUUGUUUUUGGGUGUGGAAGAAAAUGGGGAAGAAGCCUUUUUCUUCUUGGUCUAAAAGAAUAUGAGAAAAUCUGAUUGUGG
rnacentral:lncRNA from 1 species